CUUCGCAGUCACGAACUCGCCAGCAGCUAGCAGCACUGACUAGUAGGAGGGCCCGCCGGAGGAGAGGAAGCCCCAGAGAGAUUGGUAAGGGUGAUUUCCCAGGAAGACGCAGUGUGCUCUGACUUCUGUGACAGCGAGCAGCGGGACCAAUGGAUGUCCAGAUGCUGGCAAUGAGACAUGCUCUGGAGUCAGAAGACGGCGAAAAGAGAAGCAGAAGCCUCGGUGGCAAGAGUCCGAAGGACGCAAUCACUGUAACCUGUGGAUUGUACUGCAGUAGGAAACUAUCCUAGCGAGGCUCUGCUUUGCCCCAGCUUCAAGCUGGAAAGGAGGAGAACAUGAAACGUUGCUUGAAGACAAUGGCCGAGACAGCAGGUCCCACCCUGCACAGCCACCAGCAUCUCUCCCCUCAGCCCUGUCUCCUCUUCUGCAGUUGGGAUCUGCACAUUUAAGCCCCAAAUUGUCCUGUGAAGUGAAGUAUGAUCGGACAGCCUCUUUUCAGCUUUUAUGAAAAUGGAGACAGAGGAAUUGUGGCUCUUGCCAAGGUCACAGGAU
rnacentral:lncRNA from 1 species